CAGGGUUUGUGGUUGCUACAUUUUAAUCACUUCAUUGAAAGAAAAAAAGAAAGAAAAAGAAAGAAAGAAAGAUCAAGAAAAGAAGAAAAGAAAAAGUUUACAUCACACGUCCGUGCAAGGGAUGCAGAAUUACUUAUUUUGUAAGUGCAACUCAAGAUUUAUUCUUUUUAUGAAACCUCCCAUGACCGCAGUCUGCAUUAAUCAUCAAGCAACCACUGUUUGUAGAACAACGAUGAUCAUGAUGCAGCAGUGACCUGAGGGGCAAGUUAGCUCUCUGCAUGGAGCUUGUAGUCUAAAGGGGAAUCCCACGGAAGAUGAAUCUCACUGAACGGGUAGAGAAAAGCAGAAUGACCAUAGAACUCUUGGUGGUUCACUUCAGUGGGUGCCCUGAGGGCAGGGUGCGGAACAGUCAAGCAUUUCUCAGCCUGGCACGUGGGUCAACCUCGAGGAAAGAAAUUCACAGUUGUUCUACUGGCUUCAGAGACAGAAAAUUCUGUUCAGCACAGAAAUGAGCAUAACAUGCAGAUGAGACCCUUUCCUGUGGUCCCUUGUCUUGGGAGUGAGUUUUCAGCUAAUGAGAAGUGAGAAGUAAUGAAGCUGGAAUAAGAACACAGUUACUGAACUUCAGAUGGUUGACAAGAUGGUAUUGCUGUUGGCCAACACAUCCUCCAGAUUUUGGCUUUUAAUAUAAA